rnacentral:rRNA from 1 species
UGGGGGAUAUUGCACAAUGGGCGAAAGCCUGAUGCAGCGACGCCGCGUGGGGGAUGAAGGCUUUCGGGUUGUAAACCUCUUUCGCUAUCGAACAAGGCCCGCUUAGGGUGGGUUGAGGGUAGGUGGAGAAGAAGCGCCGGCUAACUACGUGCCAGCAGCCGCGGUAAUACGUAGGGCGCGAGCGUUGUCCGGAAUUAUUUGGCGUAAAGGGCUUGUAGGCGGUUUGUUGCGCCUGCUGUGAAAACGCGGGGCUUAACUUCGCGCGUGCAGUGGGUACGGGCAGGCUUGAGUGUGGUAGGGGUGACUGGAAUUCCAGGUGUAGCGGUGGAAUGCGCAGAUAUCUGGAGGAACACCGAUGGCGAAGGCAGGUCACUGGGCCAUUACUGACGCUGAGGAGCGAAAGCAUGGGUAGCGAACAGG